rnacentral:tRNA from 1 species
GCACCGGUAGCUCAGCUGGAUAGAGCAUCUGGCUACGAACCAGAAGGUCGGGGGUUCGAAUCCUCCCCGGUGCGCCA